UCUAGGAAAAACAUAUUUAUAAAAUCAAGGUCAAGAGGUAUCAUUUCAAUUUCUGAUGUUCGGACUGACAAUGCUAGUGUGCUUUGCUAUAGUGGAUUAUUGAAAAUAUUUCAAUUGCCUAAUUAAGACCUAUAUCCCAGCAAUGAUUUAGGGCAUCAAGCCCUUUGCAGUAUCCUGGUGCCUAACUCAGUUCUUAAGCCUCAAAUCUCUUUUUCAUCCAUUUUCCUUCCGUUAAAAAAUUUUAUAAGUGAUGCGUUUAAAUAUUUUCCUCCUUAUCUUUUUCUGUUCUGCUUUUCCCAAUCCUAGACUAAGACUUCCUUAUGCUUGUUCCCCUUUGGGUGCUUUCUAUUUAUUAGUAUUUUUCUCUAGUGAGAUUCCUUCCAAUGACUAGUUAAGGAGCUGCUGACUAAAGACAUUUUUAUAAAUAAUUUUUAGUGGUAUUUGACUAUGGUUUGGAUUGGAGUGCAAUCAUAGGAUUUGGAAUUUUCACUAACGUCGACUCCCUUGUAUGUGCACUCAGGGGUAUAUCCUGAUGUUUGAAAAAUGGAAAAUAAUCGGGCGUGGGGAGAACGAGGAGCACGAGGAAGAGGAAGAAGUUGAAAAAGUGGCUAGUGAUACACCAUGUGAUACUCUUGUGAAGCUGGGAAGUGACAGUGGCCGCAGCUCCUCAUCAGCCUCAUGAUGACAAAGAUUAGGUCAGGAAUGGGCUGAUUCCCAGGUUUUCUGGGCUGAGGGAUCCCAAAGGCUCCAGCACGCCAUUCCCUAACUAUCGCCACAUAAUGUGGUGUGCCCUGCUCAUCCUUCUGCUGUUAAGCUUACGAGUGGCACCUCCGUGGACCUCUGAGGGCUCUCGAGUCCCAUGAGUGAGCCGGGCCAGCCUGAAUUUGCUUUGAACAAAGGUGAGACCCUCACACCUCGAUACACUCACCAAUAACUAACCACUUUGGCCAGUGGUGCUGGCCUCUACCCCACGUUUUUAGAAGGAAGCCGCCAAAUU